GACGAACGCUGGCGGCGUGCUUAACACAUGCCAGUCGAACGGGAUCCAAAGGCUUUUUGUUUUUGGUGAGAGUGGCGAACGGGUGAGUAACACGUGAGUAACCUGCCCCCUUCUUUUGGAUAACCGCAUGAAAGUGUGGCUAAUACAGGAUAUUCCAGGCUGGUCGCAUGAUUGGUUUGGGAAAUGGUUUGGUCUGGUGGGGGAUGGGCUCGCGGCCUAUCAGCUUGUUGGUGGGGUGAUGGCCUACCAAGGCGGUGACGGGUAGCCGGCCUGAGAGGGUGGGCGGUCACACUGGGACUGAGAUACGGCCCAGACUCCUACGGGAGGCAGCAGUGGGGGAUUUUGCACAAUGGGCGCAAGCCUGAUGCAGCGACGCCGCGUGAGGGAUGAAGGCCUUCGGGGUGUAAACCUCUUUCGCUGGGUUGAAAGGCCAUGCUUUGGGUGUGGUUGAUUUGAACUGGUAAAGAAGUACCGGCUAACUACGUG
rnacentral:rRNA from 1 species